rnacentral:miRNA from 1 species
ACAUAUUAAGAAGUCGAAUUG